AGACGGGGGGUGCUAGCGUUGUUCUGAAUUACUGGGCGUAAAGGGCGCGUAGGCGGCUCUGCGAGUCGGGCGUGAAAUCCCGGGGCUCAACCCCGGAACGGCGCUCGAUACUGCGGGGCUGGAGACCGGAAGAGGAGGGUGGAAUUCCCAGUGUAGAGGUGAAAUUCGUAGAUAUUGGGAGGAACACCGGUGGCGAAAGCGGCUCUCUGGUCCGGUUCUGACGCUGAGGCGCGAAAGCGUGGGGAGCGAACAGGAUUAGAAACCCCAGUAGUCC
rnacentral:rRNA from 1 species